AGCCGAGGAUGUUCAAAUAUAUUUGCUACUCUCGAGGUUCGACGGUGACGACACUCAAUCACCAAGAUCGCUGAGGCU
rfam:Ostreococcus tauri, RCC4221, WGS project CAID01000000 data, contig: 17, chromosome: 17